rnacentral:rRNA from 1 species
UACGAAGGACCCGAGCGUUAUCCGGAUUUAUUGGGUUUAAAGGGUGCGUAGGCGGGUUAUUAAGUCAGUGGUGAAAGCCUACAGCUUAACUGUAGAAUUGCCAUUGAUACUGAUAAUCUUGAGUAUGAUUGAGGUGGGCGGAAUGUGUCAUGUAGCGGUGAAAUGCUUAGAUAUGACACAGAACACCGAUUGCGAAGGCAGCUCACUAAGCCACAACUGACGCUGAUGCACGAAAGCGUGGGGAGCAAACAGG